CCAACACCGGGGGGGCCGCCGGGACCGCGGCCGCCCGAGGAGCCCCGGAGCCCCCCGCUGUGUCUCGGCGGCCCCUCCCGGGAACAUCCGCACCCCCCCCCCAACAUCUGGAGCGGCGGUGCCCCCACGCAGCCCCUCCCGCGCUGCUGUUGCCCCCCACCCCCCCAUCCCACCGCCUCAACGGGAGAUCGAUGUCGUAAUUGUGACUGCUGACAUCACCGGGAUGGGGGGGGUGGGGGGUGGUCACGGGAUGGGGAGUGACGUCACGGUUUGGCUCUGAUGUCAGAGCUGUGACACCAUCACUGCAGCCGUGGCUGUCGGGGGGGGGCGCGGAUGCAGAAAGUGAUGGAGGAGUCGUGGAGGGUGGGCCAUCCUGAACCCCCCCCCACCCCCCGGUUCGGUGGGGGCUUUUCGGAGCGGUGCACAACAGCGCGGAUGGCGGUGAAGGAGGGACGGAACGCCGCGCUGGGAUGAGCUGAAGUCCCCCCCCCCACCGCACUGAGGAGCCGACAGCAGUUCGGCAUCAAAUCCCGGACCUGCGCCAUUGCAGUGCCCACCCUGUGCUGUGACCCCCCCACCCUCACCAUGCCCCCACCUCACCAUUCCUACACCACCCCGUACCCAUACCUACACCAUACCCAUCCCAUCCUAUACCUACAUCAUACCCACCCCAUACCCAUACCUACACCAUACCCAUCCCAUGCACCUCCCAUACACAUAUCUACACCAUACCCAUCCCAUCCCAUACUUACACCAUACCCAUCCCAUACCCAUAUCUACACCAUACCCAUCCCAUCCCAUCCCUUCCCAUACCCAUCCCAUACCCAUCCCAUCCCAUACCUACACCAUACCCAUCCCAUCCCAUCCCUACACCAUACCCAUCCCAUCCCAUCCCUACACCAUACCCAUCCCAUACCCAUACCUACACCAUACCCAUCCCAUACCCAUACCUACACCAUACCCAUCCCAUACCCAUACCUACACCAUACCCAUCCCACCCCCAUACCUACACCAUACCCAUCCCAUCCCAUCCCUACACCAUACCCAUCCCAUACCCAUCCCUACACCAUACCCAUCCCAUCCCUACACCAUACCCAUCCCAUACCCAUACCUACACCAUACCCAUCCCAUACCUACACCAUACCCAUCCCAUCCCAUCCCUACACCAUACCCAUCCCAUCCCAUACCUACACCAUACUCAUCCCAUACAUUACCCAUUCCAUUCCCCAACCUACACCGUGCCCCCCCCAUACUGUACUCAUGCCAUGCCCUUACCUAUACCAUACCUAUAUCACAGCCAUUAUAUACCUAUACCAUACGCAUCCUAUACCCAUCCCAUAACUAUAAUAUAUCCAUCCCAUAACCAUCCCAUACCUAUACCAUACCCAUUCCAUAUCGAUCCCAUACCCACACCAUGCCUAUACCAUACCAAUCCCAAACCUAUACCAUUCCCAUCCCAUAUCCAUCCCAUUCCCAUCCCACACCCAACCAAUACCCAUCCCAAACCUAUACCAUACCCUUCCCAUGCCUAUAUCAUAUUCAUCCCAAACCUAUACCAUUCCCAUCCCAUACUCAUCCCAUACCCACCCCAUGUCUAUACCGUACCCACACCAUGCCUAUACCGUACCCAUGCUAUACCUAUACCAUACCCAUCCCAAACCUAUACCGCAUGCAUCCCAUACCCAUCCCAUACCCAUCCCGUACCCAUCCCGUACCCAUACCGUACCCAUACCGUACCCAUCCCAUACCCCUCCUAUACCCAUACCGUACUCAUCCCAAACCUAUACCAUACCCAUUCCAUACCUAUAUCAUACCUACACCAUACCCAUCCCAUAUCAAUCCCAUACCCAUCCCAUACGCAUCCCAAACCUGAAUCAUCCCCAUCCCAUCCCCCUCCCACCCUCACCCCAUACCCCAACCUACAGCACACCACCCCAUACCCACCCAUACCCCAUCCCGACCCCCCAUCCAUGCCCCCAUCCCACCCCGUCCCGUCCCGCCGCCCCCUC
rnacentral:lncRNA from 7 species